rnacentral:rRNA from 1 species
AACGUAGGAGACGAACGUUAUCCGGAUUUACUGGGCGUAAAGGGCGCGUAGGCGGCUUGACAAGUCACUUGUGAAAUCUCCGGGCUUAACUCGGAACGGCCAAGUGAAACUGUCAUGCUAGAGUGCAGAAGGGGCAAUCGGAAUUCUUGGUGUAGCGGUGAAAUGCGUAGAUAUCAAGAGGAACACCUGAGGUGAAGACGGGUUGCUGGGCUGACACUGACGCUGAGGCGCGAAAGCCAGGGGAGCAAACGGG